rnacentral:lncRNA from 1 species
GGGAGGGCCGCGGGAUCGCCAUGCUCAACCUUCUGAAGACCCUGAGCCAGAGCAUCGCCCCCUCCAUGGCUGACAUGUGGGAGCUGGAGAUCCCGCUGCUGGUGAAGUACCUGGAAGGUGAGAUGUCCCGGGUAUGUGUGCAAGCCAUCUGCUAAGUGCACAUGCCAGGUACUAGAUGUGUGGCAUGAGCAAAGGAGCCUGUGGUGCUUGUGUGAUCCCUACUGUACAUGCUGUGUACUAACCACCUGGUCUGAGCAAAGGAGCCUGGGGCGUGUGAGCCACCCUCCAUCUGUGUACCUGCCGUGUACAAGUCACGUGGCCUGAGCCAGGGCGCCCAGGCUCCCGGUGGCCAGCACAGCCUACUCUGGUCCUUGGAGGGUGGGGAGGGAAGUGCGGCGUGUGGGGAGCCCGUCCACGGAGGACCCCAGCUGCUGCAUUUGGGAGGCGGCAUGGAGGAGCGGCAGGAGGCAGGAGCGCGGGCGGCCUGCAGAACACACUGAGUUUACGUGGAACCAGGAGACGUGGGAGGACAAGCUGAUUCAGUUUCUGAGAAACUCCCUCAAGAAGACUCGGGGUUCCAACUGGAGCCUGCGUCUGAGCAAAGAGCUGAACAACCAGAUCGAGAGCUUCGACAGCCCCUCCCUGGAGAAGGGCUUUCUGUACCGGGCCUUGGGCUUCACCCUGGCCACGGGCCUGGAGGCCGACAAGGUGGAAGUGCUGCUGCUGGAGCUGCUGUACAAGACGGACUACAGCAACGACUUCGACCGGGAGGGCGUGAUCCUGUGCUUUGGCCUGUGUGCCCGGGGCCAGGUGAAGACGGUGCUGGGCGUGCUCCAUGACUUUGAAGAGAGGAUCCAGGAGUCGGAGCAGUCCUGGCAGAUUGGCGCCUGGCGGAAGGACCAUCCCUGGAGGCGGGAGACGGUGAAGGGCGCGCUCAUGGUGAUGUACAGCUGCGUGGCCUCCUACUGCCACCCGCAGAUGCUUCUCAUCCACGUGGACAACCCCAUCACCACCAAGAUCAUCCACCACUACUCCAGCAGCUGCCAGACUCAGAAGAAGCCUGCCAUUCUCUACAACUUCUUGCUAGAAACAAUGACCUAUGUUAAAAGCAACUUGUCAAGGAUCAGAAUCGCUGCAUGUAACUUGGCAGGAAUCAUUAUGAAGCAGAUGUCUGCGCAUUACUUGAGAAAGCUGGAUUUUCCAGCAUUACGGAAUUCUCUCCAGGAGCUACAGCUGGACUCAGAUCCUGGUGUUUGGAGGGCAGCUCUGGAGACGCCUAACAUCUUGGAUACCUGCAGUCAGCAGCAGCUUUUGGCUUCACCUGAAGGAAUCUCCUAGGUGGUCUAAGUGCAAAACAUACCUUUAUCCUGGGGGCCAAACCCCACUGCACCACCGCAAACCACUUUUAAUUGUGUUUGUAAGAAAAAAUAUUUUACUUAAAUAAUCAGUGCCCCUUUCUUUCCUCCCCUUGAAAUAAACCUCCCUUGCUAUUUGGAGAGCAGAUUCCUGACUGCAAGGAGAUGACGCCCCAGAGCUGAGACAGUGAUUGUUUACCUCUUUGGGAUAAUGAGGUGAAGGGAAAUUAAGUGAAGGGAAAUUCUGGUCCUAGCGGGGAUUAGAUUCCUGUGUCCCCUGAGUGUGUGUGUGUGUGAGUGUGUGUGUGUGUGUGUGUGUGUGUGUGAGGCCAGAGGAUCUGGGGUUCCCGUUGUGUCUUCACUGCAUUUCAGUUCCUCCCAAGUGGAUGGUGUGUGUCCACUGCCAGGCUCUGUGCUGGGGCCCCAGGGGGGCCCAGCUACUGUCCAGCCCUGCUUCCAGGAGCCCUGCCCUUAAAGGGAAAGGAGACAUCUCCCAGCACCCAUGUCGCACCCAGGAUGAGGGAGGGCGGCCACCGAUGGGGGCAGUGCUGGUGCCCGUCUGCAGGGUGUAACUCAGGGGGCUUCAGGGAGGAAGUGACACCACACCGUCCACCCUCGUCUCUUUCAUAUCAGGGUCCACUGGGCCAGGAUGGGAAGGGACCCAGCGAGGCCUGGAGCAGAACCCAUGAAGGGCCAAAGGGAGGAGUUACCUUCAAGUCCAAGAAACAGGCAGGGGGAGAAGGGCAGGGAAACUCUUCCUACACUCACGCUGCCAGCGGGACAGUCUCGGGUUGUCCCCAGAGCAGAUGGAGGUGGGAUUUCCAAACCAGUCCCACUGUAACAGCCCAAGGCAGUCACCACCCUGGGCCCAUGGGUGGGAGGAUUGCAAAACAGUCCAGAAAACCAACCUGCACUGGAGGCUUCCCAGGAGACUGGUCUCACACUCUUGGUGGUGCCCACGGAACAGACAGUGGAGUUACUUCCUGCUGAGUGAUGAAGAUGGUGGCUGCUGGAAGACUCAAGUCCCAGUGACGCAGCCAGAAAGGAUGUGCCCUUCACUCUAGGCCCGGGGGAAGCCGUACGAUUGCAGAGUCAGGUCUCUGAUCAAUUCUGUUCAUGCCUGUGCAAAACAUCUCCAGAUGGUUUAUAGACCUGAACUCAGAAAGCAAAAAUUUAAGACAAUAUAGUCAUUUUGAUCCUGAGACUAGGGUAGGAUGUCCUUUAAGAGUAAUGAAUGAAACAAGUUAAAAAUAAAGGAUUAACUUUUGUAAGUUACAGUAUAUCUUCUGGGACUUUGCUGGUGGUCCAGUGAUUAAAAUUCCAUGCUUCCACUGCAGGGAGCUUAGGUUCUGUCCCUGGUUGGGGAACUAAGAGCCUUAUGCCAUGCAGUGCAAUUAAAAAAAAAGAAAAUUUCUUGAAUAAAAAUGAAAAUACA